UGGGAUGUAGCCAAGUGGUAAGGCAACGGGUUUUGGCUCCGUCAAACGAAGGUUCGAGCCCUUCCAUCCCAGCCA
rnacentral:tRNA from 2 species